AUGCACGCUGGCGGCGUGCCUAAUACAUGCAAGUCGAGCGAACAGACGAGGAGCUUGCUCCUCUGACGUUAGCGGCGGACGGGUGAGUAACACGUGGAUAACCUACCUAUAAGACUGGGAUAACUUCGGGAAACCGGAGCUAAUACCGGAUAAUAUAUUGAACCGCAUGGUUCAAUAGUGAAAGACGGUUUUGCUGUCACUUAUAGAUGGAUCCGCGCCGCAUUAGCUAGUUGGUAAGGUAACGGCUUACCAAGGCGACGAUGCGUAGCCGACCUGAGAGGGUGAUCGGCCACACUGGAACUGAGACACGGUCCAGACUCCUACGGGAGGCAGCAGUAGGGAAUCUUCCGCAAUGGGCGAAAGCCUGACGGAGCAACGCCGCGAGAGUGAUGAAGGUCUUCGGAUCGUAAAACUCUGUUAUUAGGGAAGAACAAAUGUGUAAGUAACUAUGCACGUCUUGACGGUACCUAAUCAGAAAGCCACGGCUAACUACGU
rnacentral:rRNA from 1 species